GAUGAACGCUGGCGGCGUGCCUAAUACAUGCAAGUCGAGCGAACGGACGAGAAGCUUGCUUCUCUGAUGUUAGCGGCGGACGGGUGAGUAACACGUGUAUAACCUACCUAUAAGACUGGGAUAACUUCGGGAAACCGGCGCUAAUACCGGAUGAUAUUUUGAACCGCAUGGUUCGAAAGUGAGAGACGGUCUUGCUGUCACUUAUCGAUGGUUCCGCGCUGCAUUGGCUAGUUGGUAAGUUAACGGCUUACCACGGCAACGAUGCAUAGCCGACCUGAGAGGGUGAUAGGCCACACUGGAACGGAGACACGGUCCAGACUCCUACGGGAGGCAGCAGUAGGGAAUCUUCCGCAAUGGGCGAAAGCCUGACGGAGCAACGCCGAGUGAGUGAUGAAGGUCUUCGGUUCGUAAAACUCUGUUAUGAGGGAAGAACAGAUGUGUAAGGAACUGUGCACAGCUUGACGGUACCGAAUCAGAAAGCAACGGCUAACUACGUG
rnacentral:rRNA from 1 species